rnacentral:rRNA from 1 species
CUCCACCCGAGACUCAGUGAAAUUGAACUCGCUGUGAAGAUGCAGUGUACCCGCGGCAAGACGGAAAGACCCCGUGAACCUUUACUAUAGCUUGACACUGAACAUUGAGCCUUGAUGUGUAGGAUAGGUGGGAGGCUUUGAAGUGUGGACGCCAGUCUGCAUGGAGCCGACCUUGAAAUACCACCCUUUAAUGUUUGAUGUUCUAACGUUGACCCGUAAUCCGGGUUGCGGACAGUGUCUGGUGGGUAGUUUGACUGGGGCGGUCUCCUCCUAAAGAGUAACGGAGGAGCACGAAGGUUGGCUAAUCCUGGUCGGACAUCAGGAGGUUAGUGCAAUGGCAUAAGCCAGCUUGACUGCGAGCGUGACGGCGCGAGCAGGUGCGAAAGCAGGUCAUAGUGAUCCGGUGGUUCUGAAUGGAAGGGCCAUCGCUCAACGGAUAAAAGGUACUCCGGGGAUAACAGGCUGAUACCGCCCAAGAGUUCAUAUCGACGGCGGUGUUUGGCACCUCGAUGUCGGCUCAUCACAUCCUGGGGCUGAAGUAGGUCCCAAGGGUAUGGCUGUUCGCCAUUUAAAGUGGUACGCGAGCUGGGUUUAGAACGUCGUGAGACAGUUCGGUCCCUAUCUGCCGUGGGCGCUGGAGAACUGAGGGGGGCUGCUCCUAGUACGAGAGGACCGGAGUGGACGCAUCACUGGUGUUCGGGUUGUCAUGCCAAUGGCACUGCCCGGUAGCUAAAUGCGGAAGAGAUAAGUGCUGAAAGCAUCUAAGCACGAAACUUGCCCCGAGAUGAGUUCUCCCUGACUCCUUGAGAGUCCUGAAGGAACGUUGAAGACGACGACGUUGAUAGGCCGGGUGUGUAAGCGCAGCGAUGCGUUGAGCUAACCGGUACUAAUGAACCGUGAGG